GGCGCAUGCGCAGGCGGCCGGGAACCGCGGGAGUUCCGCCCCCCCCCGCGGCAGUGCUGUCCCUCCCCGCGGGAGGCGGUGCGGCGCCGAGCAGCGCGGCCCAUAAUGUAGACCCAGAUCCUGUGUGACCAGGAGCAUCUGGAGUCCCAGUCCUGCCUGAGGACUGUGAUCCUCAGUCUGCCCACACAAAAACUUACACUUGUGUCCACUGGAAGGAAAUUCAGGUGUAUGGAAAGAGAAGGAUGUGCAGUGUUCUGCAGUUGGUUUCCA